GAUGAACGCUGGCGGCGUGCCUAAUACAUGCAAGUCGAGCGAACGGACGAGAAGCUUGCUUUUCUGAUGUUAGCGGCGGACGGGUGAGUAACACGUGGAUAACCUACCUAUAAGACUGGGAUAACUUCGGGAAACCGGAGCUAAUACCGGAUAAUAUUUUGAACCGCAUGGUUCAAAAGUGAAAGACGGUCUUGCUGUCACUUAUAGAUGGAUCCGCGCUGCAUUAGCUAGUUGGUAAGGUAACGGCUUACCAAGGCAACGAUGCAUAGCCGACCUGAGAGGGUGAUCGGCCAGACGGGAAGUGAGGAACGGUCCAGACUCCUACGGGAAGAAGCAGUAGGGAAUCUUCCGCGAGGGGGGAAAGGCUAACGGAGGAAAGCGGCGUGAGUGAUGAAGGACCUCGGAUCGGAAAACGAUGAUAUUAGGGAAGAACAAAUGUGUAAGUAACUGUGAAGAUCUUGACGGUACCUAAUCAGAAAGCCACGGCUAACUACGUG
rnacentral:rRNA from 1 species